rnacentral:rRNA from 1 species
AAAUAAUCUCAUUAUUCUAGAGUUUGACAUGGCUCAGGACGAACGCUGGCGGCGUGCCUAAUACAUGCAAGUCGAACGCUUCUUUCCUCCCGAGUGCUUGCACUCAAUUGGAAAGAGGAGUGGCGGACGGGUGAGUAACACGUGGGUAACCUACCCAUCAGAGGGGGAUAACACUUGGAAACAGGUGCUAAUACCGCAUAACAGUUUAUGCCGCAUGGCAUAAGAGUGAAAGGCGCUUUCGGGUGUCGCUGAUGGAUGGACCCGCGGUGCAUUAGCUAGUUGGUGAGGUAACGGCUCACCAAGGCCACGAUGCAUAGCCGACCUGAGAGGGUGAUCGGCCACACUGGGACUGAGACACGGCCCAGACUCCUACGGGAGGCAGCAGUAGGGAAUCUUCGGCAAUGGACGAAAGUCUGACCGAGCAACGCCGCGUGAGUGAAGAAGGUUUUCGGAUCGUAAAACUCUGUUGUUAGAGAAGAACAAGGACGUUAGUAACUGAACGUCCCCUGACGGUAUCUAACCAGAAAGCCACGGCUAACUACGUGCCAGCAGCCGCGGUAAUACGUAGGUGGCAAGCGUUGUCCGGAUUUAUUGGGCGUAAAGCGAGCGCAGGCGGUUUCUUAAGUCUGAUGUGAAAGCCCCCGGCUCAACCGGGGAGGGUCAUUGGAAACUGGGAGACUUGAGUGCAAAAAAGGAGAGUGGAAUUCCAUGUGUAGCGGUGAAAUGCGUAAAUUUAUGGAGGAACACCAGUGGCGAAGGCGGCUCUCUGGUCUGUAACUGACGCUGAGGCUCG